rnacentral:rRNA from 1 species
UACGGGGGGGGCAAGCGUUGUUCGGAAUUACUGGGCGUAAAGGGCUCGUAGGCGGCCAACUAAGUCGGAUGUGAAAUCCCCAGGCUUAACCUGGGAACUGCAUCCGAUACUGGAUGGCUUGAAUCCGGGAGAGGGAUGCAGAAUUCCAGGUGUAGCGGUGAAAUGCGUAGAUAUCUGGAGGAAUACCGGUGGCGAAGGCAGCCUCCUGGGCCAGCACUGACGCUCAUGCACGAAAGCGUGGGGAGCAAACAGG